GCGCGCGAGGUGGAGAAGCAGGGCACGUGCAUUCCUAGAGCUUCCGUCCAGCUCACCGGCGGGCUAGCUAGCUCACUCCGCCGCCGCCGCCGCCGCCGCGCGCACGGCUGGCUGGCUCCGGCAGGUUCUGAGAUGCACGGAUGCAUGUGCCCUUCUUCUCCACCGUGCACGC
rnacentral:pre_miRNA from 1 species